rnacentral:rRNA from 1 species
GAUCCUGGCUCAGGACGAACGCUGGCGGCGUGCCUAAUACAUGCAAGUAGAACGCUGAAGGAGGAGCUUGCUUCUCUGGAUGAGUUGCGAACGGGGUGAGUAACGCGUAGGUAACCUGCCUGGUAGCGGGGGGAUAACUAUUGGAAACGAUAGCUAAUACCGCAUAAUAGUAGUUGUUGCAUGACAAACUGUUUGAAAGGUUGCAAUUGCAUCACUACCAGAUGGACCUGCGUUG